UACGUAGGUGGCAAGCGUUGUCCGGAUUUACUGGGCGUAAAGCGUGCGCAGGCGGUUUUGUAAGCCAGAUGUGAAAUCCCCGGGCUCAACCUGGGAAUGGCAUUUGGGACUGCAAGGCUGGAGUGCGGCAGAGGAGACUGGAAUUCCUGGUGUAGCAGUGAAAUGCGUAGAUAUCAGGAGGAAUACCGAUGGCGAAGGCAGGUCUCUGGGCUGACACUGACGCUCAUGCACGAAAGCGUGGGGAGCAAACAGG
rnacentral:rRNA from 1 species